UGAAAACACUAUUCAUGUAGUCCAUAUCAACAGAAUUUAUGUAGUAAACACAUUAUCGUAUAAUGUUUUUCAAACUACUAUGCAUUACAUUUGUGCUGACUAUACAAAUUGUCAAUGAACGGGUGUACUGUUAUUGUCACAUAAAGUUACAAUUUAGCAGAAAAUUUCGUACAUAGGUAACACAUCAGUGAUGGAUUUGAACAAAAUAUUCUAUAUUGUGACUGUGUACUUUGGUAGUGAAAUCAACAUCUCGUAUACGGUUUAUAAUUCAUUAUCGGUCGCUGUAGAAACAACAUCAAGCGAUUGAUGAAAAGGAAGAUUAUCAUUUGAUUCCCGGAUUCAAUUCGCUCGAAUCCGACGGAAAAUCGCAGGAAAAACUCCACCGGACAGAGCCUUGGAUCAACUGAUACUAUCAAGCAAUGCUAAGCAAUAUUUCACCAGGUAUAUUAUCAUUUGAUUUGAUGCGAAAAUAAAAUAG